GACACUGAGUCGUCUUAAUGACACGGAGAUGCAGGCAGACGGAGCUGUGCAAGGGAAAGAUAAUAUUCUGGGAUUUCCGAAAACCAGGAUUUCAAAUAUGCGACACGUGAAGACUCCUCAUACCAAGUGGGCGGAGCCACACCAUCGCCGGAAGGCAAAGUUGAGAAGCGGCUUGCAUAUGGCGCCGUCGUAGACAGGCUCCGGACACACCCGAGUGGCUACAGAUGGCAGCUGGGGCUUCUUCGUGACAGAAGCUGAUUGGUUACUUCAGAGUGUGAAAAUGCUUGAAACUGUCAUUGUCUGUCUGUCUGUCUGUCUGUUUGUUUCUUUGUUUUUUUUGUCUGUCUGUCUGUCUGCCUGUCUUGUCUACCCAAAGUCUGUUUCCUCUAUUCUAAUUUGUUGUGUCUUAGUCUCUGUCACUGCCAUUAUUCUGUGUUUCUGAAGGUCUGUGUGUAUUUGUACAUGUCGAGACGUAUGAGAGCGCACACACACACACCAAACACACACACAUACACACAGGACACACACACACCAUUGUAAUGCCCGCCCAGUCGUGUGGCUAUAAAUGAAAGUUUCUUCGUAAGUCGAUUGUCAUCCUUAGCUUGUGGAAGUGCCUUCACACAACCGUCGUCUGUCAUCGUCAGACAUCGAGGAGGCGUCGACAAUGAGGAAGACUACGUGUCUUGUAGCUUUACUGACACUCGCCACACUGUGCUCAACUCAGCCCGACGACAAAAGAAGACAUGAAGCAGGUUUUCUCACCUUGGAGAUCCUGCAUGAGUAUUGCAGAAAGAUGCCGGAUUCGAACUUCUGCAUUGAAAAGAUGAAACGCAACCUUCAACCGUCAGCAGUGCAGCCAAAGGCCUUCAACCCUCGCCACGUCUCGCCAGCGUCCAGGCGCUAAGACGUCAAGAGCUGACCUCAAUUGUGGGUGACGUCAGCUUGCACGCUGGUCAUGACGUCAUGUGGCUAUCUGCGUCACGCUUUGCUGUGACGUUCUUGAAAAGCUUGAGUUUCGCCAUGUUGGUUUCUUACAACUGUUUCCAUGGCAACGUGUCAACGCUGUACAUUGCCCUCCCUUACAACUCGUCGACAACAGUUUUCCCAACGUAAGCAGAGUACACUGCACUAAGAAAUAUCACGGACGAUCUCUCUGCUGUCCGCCAUGCUAGCCCGCCGGAAGUCAAAUUUGUGAUUUGAAUAAACAACCACAUCAAAGGUAGAUAAAGGUAAAUAAGGUUUAACAAUCAGACGAGACGAACAUGAGCACACACCUGGAUAUGAUGGUAUCGUCACGAGCUGCAGUUGUUUCUUUGUAUCGUUGUGUUCUCACCCUGACAAUACUCAGUGUGGUCUGUUCCCUUACCACCUCACUGGAUGAAUUAUUUGCUUUUCCGUUGUUUCCAAUCUUCAUUCCUUCUCUCCUAUAUUCGCUCAUUUCUUUCUCUAUUAAUAUGCUACUGGCUGUUAAGUUUCUCUCUGCCGUCAGAUACAUUCCCGAUGUCAUCAUCUCAGUAAAAUACUUUGUCUCACUACUCACUUCCUUUUAAGGUGAAAGUAUAGUCCACAAAGUUUCGGGAUGUUGUGGUCGAGUUUGAGAUAACAACAUUUUGAUACUUUGACAUAUAAUAUAAUAGUUCAGAUGAAUUUUUGUUGAAAGAAGUGUUUUGAUAUUAAAUUAAUUAAUUUUUCAGACCUACCCUCACCAAAUUUACACUAAAAUGAAUUAGAAUUGCUGUUUUCUCCAAUGGUGUUUUCAGCUAUGCUAUAUUCGUGCAAAGAAAGGAAUCUCAGGAUGGGCUAAAGUAAUGAAUUCUUGGAAGUCAUACUCACACAUAAAUAUUGUACACUUACAAGCAUAACCUUGUUGCGAAAACAUUAUUUUGUCUGUAACUGGCUUCUAACAAAGAAUUCUUGUUUUGUCCAGCGCAAUUUUUGGGGGUCUCUACUUUGACUAUACAUCUCCAAGACUUUCAAAGAUAUGAAAAUGAUCAUUCUGGGAAAUGUAGCUAACAGUAUGUACUGUAAACAGACACAACAAUCAAUGAUCUAUAACUUUUGGUGUCUGAAAAUUAUUUUGGAUAAAAGUGGUUUUUUUUUUAAUUAUUCAUUACAAUCAAAAUUUUAAUUGUAACCACUUAAAGACAUUAUUUUAGAGAGUUAUUGUAUAUUUGAUUAUUUGUCACAAAAUGUUAUUAAACAUUUUUAAAACAAAAGGCUUUGUCUAAAGUAUACUUUUAUCUUACAAAUAAUAAAGUAACGGGGAAAUUUCAAAAAUUAUAGCUUAAGCAUGAAAAAGAAUAUACAUUAUGUAAUUGUCUUGCUCAUGUCUCUGUUGGAAAUAAUAAAUGAUAUAAUCAGACAUUGUU